GGUUGUUUGGCCGAGCGGUCUAAGGCGCCUGAUUCAAGAACUUCCAUUCUUAAUGCUGUGAACAGCAGAAUCCUCAGGUAUCGUAAGAUGCAAGAGUUCGAAUCUCUUAGCAACCA
rnacentral:tRNA from 1 species